GAGGGCAUAGCUCAGUGGUAGAGUGUGUGCUUAGCAUGCACAAGGUUCUGUGUUCAAUCCCUAGUCUCUCCA
rnacentral:tRNA from 1 species